GUCAACUAAUGAACAGUUGGUCUAGGUACGGGCUCCAACUCCCAUCCAAUUAGGAGGCUACAAGUAUUACAACAGUGAAGGCAUAGUGACUCAUCCAAUGAGUGAGCUGGAUCACCUGGACAAGGUAUGGGAUGCAGUAGCUUAUAGAGGAAGGAAGAUAAUAGUAUAGAAGAGAGAAGGGAGAGCACUGCACUCACCAAGCCGUAGUGCCAUAGAGAAAAGCAGAGCAAGCUGCCAAACUCUCUUCCUCAUCCUGCCCCAUCUCUUUUUCCCUUCCAAAUAAAUCCAAGACCUAGUAAUGGGGAUUGUGCUUCAAGCCACCAUUGUGUGCUGCCGUGGAGGAGAGUAGGAGCAGGAGUAGAGCAAGAUUAAAUCUAGUGCACAUGAUCAGAGCAAGCAAGCACCAAGAAAGGGAACACAAGGAUCGGAGAAGGAACUAUUAACUGCUGAAUCUAAGUCCAUGUUUGACUUGAAAUAUCAGGCAAGAUCCUCCGUGGUCAUUUUGAUUAGAAGUCAUUGUUCACUUGCUGGAACAAGUAAUUUCAGCGAGGCUGCGUGGGGUGCGGUUGUUCGCGAUGAGCGCGGGUCGGUCAUCGCCUCAAGUUGGAAUGUCAUCGACGACUGUCAGUCGGCGGAGAUGGCAGAGGGUGUUGCCUGUUUAGAGGGCAUCAAAUGGGUUCGUGGUUUCAGUGCCCUACCGCUCAUCGUCGAAAGUGACUGUCAGGGGCUUAUCACGACGCUGCUUGAUCCUACAGAAACAAGAUCUUCUCUAAGGCCUGUCAUUCAGGAAAUUAGACACCUUGCCCCCUUCGAUCCUGGCAUUCAGUUCAAGUUCACAAGUCGCGUUAACAAUGGAGUUGCUCAUGAGAUUGCUAAGUUCUGUGUUAGUUCAGGCCGUGGUGGUGUGGUGUUGGAGGGCGUUCCGCCUUGUGCUGAACGAUCGCUUGCGUAUGAUUGUAAGAACAUUCCUGUUUGAUUAAUAUAGCACCACCUUUUCAAAAAAUUAGUAAAAAAACAUAGAUGCCAGAUUGCUUUCUGAAUCCUGGGUUGUGAAACCUGCUGAUAUAUCUAGUAUCUGAGCCUAUACCAUGAUAAAUCUUGGAGAAACAAAUAACAAUUCCAAGACAUAACCAAGCACAUGAUGAAUAAAUAAUACACACCAACACUAAAAUAACUAUACGUUACCAGUACUGUAAAAAUAACAAUGUAUCUGUAUGUCAAAACAUGUAUCAUUGGAGCUUUUUUAUUUCCUUAAAUAAUAGCAAAACAUCCCAGUCACUCUGUAUUAGCGGACAGCAUCUGUAUUGUUUAAAAAUGAUAUAGUCAAAAAGACUUGGAUCUUUCACCUAAGAGCCUGCCCCAAU